UCACGUGAUCUGCCCCACCUAUAGGAGACGUGUCGAUAACAAACAAAAUAAAAUGGCGAAAAAUUGUACUAAUAAUUAUUCCUUAGACUUCAAGACUUGUAAAGGAUUUGAAAUGCUCCGCUUUAAUAUUUUGAAGUUAUUUUUCACUACACUGAACACUAUGAUGCCAGCCCUGAGAGAAUCUUAGCAUUGAGUGUGUUUGCUCCAUGACGGACCAAACAAGGGAAAAGAAGGGGAAAUAGAGCCUAUAAAAGGAAAGGUAUUGUAUCAAAAUCGUGAACAAAUAAAAUAUUUGACUGUUUAAUGUUAUCAAUGUUUUAUCAUUAUUUUUUACAUUAUGAUAAUACUCCUAAUUUUUGAAGGCUAUUUAUGUUGUUACAUACUAGCUACUUAUUAAGUAUCUGAAAAUUUA